GAUGAACGCUGGCGGCGUGCCUAAUACAUGCAAGUCGAGCGAACAGACGAGGAGCUUGCUCCUCUGACGUUAGCGGCGGACGGGUGAGUAACACGUGGAGAACCUACCUAUAAGCCUGGGAUAACUUCGGGAAACCGGAGCUAAUACCGGAUAAUAUAUUGAACCGCAUGGUUCAAUAGUGAAAGACGGUUUUGCAGUCACUUAUAGAUGGAUCCGCGCUGCAUUAGUUAUUUGGUAAGGUAACGGUUUACCAAGCCAACGAUGCGUAGCCAACCUGAGAGGGUGAUCGGCCAAACUGGAACGGAGACACGGUCCAGACUCCUACGGGAGGCAGCAGUAGGAAAUCUUCCGCAAUGGGCGAAAGCCUGACGGAGCAACGCCGCGUGAGUGAUGAAGGUCUUCGGAUCGUAAAACUCUGUUAUUAGGGAAGAACAAAUGUGUAAGUAACUAUGCACGUAUUGACGGUACCUAAUCAGAAAGCCACGGCUAACUACGUG
rnacentral:rRNA from 1 species